AGAAAAUGUCUUUUAGAGUUUCUUGAGAUGAAAUGUGGGCUUAAAAUAUUUUAAUAAAAUGAAAAGGUGACACCUCAGUUAUUUUCUAAUUUUAUUUCAGUGACAUGAUGCCUCAAAUAAUAUUUUUGUGGACUAAGCUGAAUAGUUAAGCAUAGUUUAGUUUAUAACAUCUUUAUAUGGGAAAACAUGUUCCAAGUUCUGAACAACCAAUUUCCAAACAAACUUUUGGAACUCAACACAUUCCUAUGUUAAGAACUGCCUGUACUGGUUUCAACCUGUGAACUCACCAACAGCUUGGUCAGGGUUAUUAGCAAAAUAUCAAAAUUGGCUCAUUUAACUAUUCCAUUCCACUUAUUCAUUUGUCCAUUCAUUCAUGCAUGCAUGCAUGUAUACAUGCAUUCAGCAAAUAUUUAUGAAGAGCCUACUUUAGCAGGGCCCUGGGCAGGAAGUGAAAUGAUAAGAACACAGAAUAGAACGAGACAUGGUUGUUCCGUGUCUCACUAGGGAAACCUCUUAGUGAAGCAAAUAAACCAACAAUUCUAAUACAAUAUUUAAAAAAAAAAAAAGAAGAAGAAGAAAGGAAGAGAGAUAAAGAAAGAGAAAAAUAAAGGUAAAUGGGAGACACUCCAGGAAGGGAGGUCAAGGCCUCAAAAAGAAGUAUCUCAGUGUGGACAGGAUACUGCAAGGAGGUCAGCAUUCUGAAGAGUGCAGUGCAAGCUAUGAACUGGCAAGCUAUGAUGCUGGACCUGUGAUCAUGAGGGAAUCAAUAAGCCAUUUUAAGUAAGGGGGUUAUACCAGAAGAGAAAGGGGCAAAGAUAACAUAUGGAAACACAUUACAAAGGAGCAGAAAUGGUGGAGAAAAGCACCGUGUGCCUCCAAUGAAAGAAAGAGGCCACAACUUGUCCCCAGUUUGAGACAAGAACCUAAAAAUCUUGCCUUUCAGGCCACCAUAUCUCCAUCUUCUAUGCAAAAUAGUUAUUUUGGGAUCCAUCUGUAUGGCAAAUCCAGGAAGACUUCAUGCCACUUAUUUAAGAGUCUGGGCUCCAUCCUAUGUACAGCUCUGCAAAGCAUGCUGGGACCCGAUCAGCUGCCUGUGCACAGAACCAGAAAGGGAAGGAGAAGCUACUUUGGCUCUUGAGUUGAAGUUUAGCCACAGACCUCAAGGGAGCAUCCAGAUUUAUCUGGUUUUGACCAUUCAUGCUGCCAGUAACACCUCUGGACUCCCUUCCUCCCUCCCUCUUCUCCACCAGGGUCAGUGAGAUGAUGAGUGUUCCAUCACUUUGUAAGCUCUAAGUGCUGUACAGCUAUAGGCCAUUAUGUACCACAGCUUCUUCACUAAACACGGUAGCAAAGUACACCUUCCUCUUUCUCUUCUCCUAUUGCAACCCCAAACAAAAUACUAUUCUCUCUACCAAAGUUCCUCCCACUACCUGCUUAUUUAACAAAUUCUCUCUGCAUCAGAUUUCUCAUAACUCAGUUCUUCCAGAAGGCCAUAUGCUGAUUCAUCUUAGGACCUAGAAAAUGGACAGGCAAGAAUGAGAUGCUUAGAAUCGGCCUACCCUAUCCCCCUGUGUUUACCUGACCCUUUCUUUUGUGAAUCACUUAACACUCACCACCUACAAUAAACAUAAAUAGAC
rnacentral:lncRNA from 10 species